rnacentral:rRNA from 1 species
AUUGAACGCUGGCGGCAUGCCUUACACAUGCAAGUCGAACGGCAGCACGGGAGCUUGCUCCUGGUGGCGAGUGGCGAACGGGUGAGUAAUACAUCGGAACGUACCCAGUAGUGGGGGAUAACGCACCGAAAGGUGCGCUAAUACCGCAUACGACCUACGGGUGAAAGCGGGGGACCGUAAGGCCUCGCGCUAUUGGAGCGGCCGAUGUCUGAUUAGCUAGUUGGUGAGGUAAAGGCUCACCAAGGCUUCGAUCAGUAGCUGGUCUGGGAGGACGAUCAGCCAGACUGGGACUGGAACAGCGCCCAGACUCGUACGGGAGGCAGCAGUGGUGAAUUUUGGACGAUGGGCGAAAGCCUGAUCCAGCAAUGCCGCGUGUGCGAAGAAGGCCUUCGGGUUGUAAAGCACUUUUGUCAGGGAAGAAAUCUUUUAGGCUAAUACCCUGGAAGGAUGACGGUACCUGAAGAAUAAGCACCGGCUAACUACGUGCCAGCCGCCGCAGUAA